AGGGGCUUAGUUCAUCGGCUAGAAUAAAGCUCUCCAAAAGCUUAGAGAUAGGUUCGACUCCUAUAGCCCCUG
rnacentral:tRNA from 1 species